CUCACUUUUUCUUUUUUCUUUUUACUUCAAUUCAGCAGACUGAUUUUUUUAUGACACAUGAUGUAUGGUAUCUCGUUGGCGUAUCUCAGUGAAAACUAUCAUGAUGGAGAGGAUUAGAAAAGUCAGAAUAUCAUUGGUAGUAUAAAAAAACACAUGGAGGCAACUGGAAAAGGCACAAACAAAUCUAACCAGACUUAGUUUGGACUAAUCAGCUCAGGUCACAGGGAGCUAAAUGCUUAGGCUUGAACAACAACUACAGUAAUCCUCCUGUCCACUUGUGAAACACAGGUAGAGGAGAUGUAGAUCCAGAAAAGGCAUUCUUCUUUAACUAAGGCUGAGUUUAGAUCCAAAGUUUGAAUCCAAAUUUCAGUCCUUUUCCAUCACAUCAACCUGUCAUACAUACACAACUUUUCAGUCACAUCAUCUCCAAUUUCAAUCAAAAUCCAAACUUUGCGCUGAACUAAACACAGCCUAACCUCAAAUUAAACAAUCACAAUGGACUGAUCCCCAGAAACAUUUCGAUAUCCAGAGUCUUCUUGUGCAUUCAUAGAAGAAAAUAUUCAGACUUUUUGCAGAUCUGAACCAGCCUUUGUCAGAUUGGGAAAAUAGCUGUUUUUGUUGUUGCAAGGAUAGAUUCUUACAUACAUACCAUGGUUGGUGGUGUCAUGUAGAAGUAGUUAGUUUCAGAACUUGUUGGCCGGUUGUUGCCUACCCUGUUUGUCACUGACCUGGUUAGAUAUCUCUGAAAAGAAUGAAAAAAAAAAGUAUUAGCUUUGACAAACGCACACACCCAUCCAAUAAAAAACACCAUUCGUGCAAGUACAAUCCUGUGGUCUGUCAUUCUGUAAAUCAACAAGAACAUGAGCAGCAAUUUUUCAACGAGAACACAAAAGAUUUGCGUGAAUAAGAGCAACAAAACCAGGCCAAUAAACCAUUCUUGACACUUGACAGGAUACAGUGACACUGUGUUGUUGCACAUGGUAAUGGCAAUCAGCUAUUGAGCUCACCAAGCACUAGCAUCCAUGACACUAUGACAGUAUGACAUCUUGCAGUUUGCAACAGGUGUCCACCUUCCAUCUCAAGCAAGCACCUUUCAACCACCUCCCCUCUCUUCCUCCCUUCUCCACACGAUCUGAAUUGCACAACAGUGAACGAAUCUGAACUAUCUGACCGAGGAGAUAGCAAAUUUCAGUUCUUGAUCGGUGAUUGAUUCAGUGAUUAUUCCCAAAUUUCCAGUAGCUGGCAAAGGGGAGGAGAAGUCAGCGGCCAUGCUGCUGCGUACCAUGAAGCUCCCGCUC
rnacentral:lncRNA from 1 species